AUACGGAGGGUGCAAGCGUUGUUCGGAAUUACUGGGCGUAAAGGGCGCGCAGGCGGUUUGGUAAGUCAGAUGUGAAAGUCCAGGGUUUAACCCUGGAAGUGCAUAUGAAACUGUCAGACUAGAGUAUCAGAGGGGAAAGUGGAAUUCCCGGUGUAGAGGUGAAAUUCGUAGAUAUCGGGAGGAAUACCGGUGGCGAAGGCGACUUUCUGGCUGAAUACUGACGCUGAGGCGCGAAAGCGUGGGGAGCAAACAGGAUUAGAAACCCCAGUAGUCC
rnacentral:rRNA from 1 species